rnacentral:rRNA from 1 species
GACGAACGCUGGCGGCGCGCCUAACACAUGCAAGUCGAACGAGCGAGAGAGAGUUUACUUUCUCAAGCGAGUGGCGAGCGGGUGAGUAACGCGUGAGGAACCUGCCUCAAAGAGGGGGACAACAGUUGGAAACGACUGCUAAUACCGCAUAAGCCCACGGUGCCGCAUGGCACAGAGGGAAAAGGAGCAAUCCGCUUUGAGAUGGCCUCGCGUCCGAUUAGCUAGUUGGUGAGGUAACGGCCCACCAAGGCGACGAUCGGUAGCCGGACUGAGAGGUUGAACGGCCACAUUGGGACUGAGACACGGCCCAGACUCCUACGGGAGGCAGCAGUGGGGAAUAUUGCACAAUGGGGGAAACCCUGAUGCAGCGACGCCGCGUGGAGGAAGAAGGUCUUCGGAUUGUAAACUCCUGUUGUCGAGGAAGAUAAUGACGGUACUCAACAAGGAAGUG